GUGGGUAUAGCUCAGUUGUAGAGCACCUGCUUAGCAUGCACAAGGUCCUGGCUUCAAUCCCCAGUACCUCCA
rnacentral:tRNA from 1 species